GAUACUAUGAUAGGCUACACUUGAAUAACACACACAUAAAGACUGUCAGAUUAAUAUAACACUACAAGAAAAUUUGGAUUUUACGACACAAAGGUCGCGACGGUUGCAUAUUAACCGCCCUAGCUUUCAAGUUGCGACGGUUGCCAUGGCGGUUCUGAGCAACCACCGUUUUAUUUUUAGAAAAGUAACAAAAUGUUUCGACAGUUGGUCCCUAAACCGACGUAACCCCUCUUCUAUGGCUGUUUGGUUAACCGCCGCCACCCUAAGCCCUUCAAACGGUGAUUUUCACAUGCGGAUUCAAAGGUCGUGACAGUGAAUUCACCCGUCGUCCCCCCUAAAUCCAUCUCCGCGUUAAAAAAGUUUUUCACUUUUUAUGUUCUUCUUUUUCUUCAUAUUGAGAACGCACGCCCUAAUUCUUCUUCUAAAAAACCCACAUAUUCCUCAGCCGCUCACGCAUACCCUAAGUUCUUCUGGAAAAGCACACCCCAAGUUCUUAAUAGGUUUGUCUUCUCAACAAGUUCCUUCUGCGAGAGUUUAUUAAUAGGUUCAUUCUGCAAAUAUGUGUCCUUUCAUAUCCAUGGGUGAUUACCUUUCAUCUUUCAUCCAUGUGUUUGGUUCAUAACUUGAUUUUCUAUCAUCUUCAUGCUUUUCUUAAUUUAGAUUUGUGUUGUAUUAUAGUUGUUAUUUAUCUUUCAUUAUGAAGGUUACCUGUUUGAUAAAAUGUUUGAAGUGAAAAUGCAUUUUGAAACAACUUCAUGUAUAUUAUGGCAUGUUGAAAAAUUAUACACUAUUAUAAAUAAACAAUUUUGAUAAGCACUUUGUAUAACAAAUGUAAUAUAUGGACUGAUAUAAUGUGCUUCCAUUCCAAGGAAUUGACUUGGAUUUUUACCAUAGGAUGAUUAUGUGACUGAUGAUGAUGAGUAGUUGGAAAAUUUGAAAACGGAUACAAUGGGUCUUUUCUUUUUAGCUACCUAAGUAUUUAAUUUAGUUGUAACUUGUAACUUUUUUAUUUUGAAAAACUUAUAUUCGUCGUUGUGUUUGUUGUUUUUGAUUUUGUUGAUGAUUGUAAUAUAUGGUAAUGUGGGUGGAAAUAUGGUGAUGGUGAACCGACUGAUAAUUUGGCGAGAUUUUAUAAAUGGUUUACGGAGGAAUAUGAAGGGGAAGAAAAUUCGUUUAAGAAUCUUAGUUAUGGUGUGUUCGGACUUGGGAAUAGGCAGUAUGAGCAUUUUAACAAGGUGGCAAAGGUAGUAGAUGAUAAGCUUCUUGAGCAAGGUGGUAAGUGGUUUG